rnacentral:rRNA from 1 species
AUUGAACGCUGGCGGCAGGCCUAACACAUGCAAGUCGAGCGGUAGAGAGGUGCUUGCAUCUCUUGAGAGCGGCGGACGGGUGAGUAAUGCCUAGGAAUCUGCCUAGUGGUGGGGGAUAACGUUCGGAAACGGACGCUAAUACCGCAUACGUCCUACGGGAGAAAGCGGGGGAUCUUCGGACCUCGCGCCAUUAGAUGAGCCUAGGUCGGAUUAGCUAGUUGGUGAGGUAAUGGCUCACCAAGGCGACGAUCCGUAACUGGUCUGAGAGGAUGAUCAGUCACACUGGAACUGAGACACGGUCCAGACUCCUACGGGAGGCAGCAGUGGGGAAUAUUGGACAAAUGGGCGAAAGCCUGAUCCAGCCAUGCCGCGUGUGUGAAGAAGGUCUUUCCGGAUUGUAAAGCACUUUAAGUUGGGAGGAAGGG